UACGAGGGGGGCGAGCGUUGUUCGGAAUUAUUGGGCGUAAAGGGUGCGUAGGCGGUUUGGUAAGUCUUGUGUGAAAUCUUCGGGCUCAACUCGAAGUCUGCACGAGAAACUGCCGGGCUUGAGUAUGGGAGAGGUGAGUGGAAUUCCCGGUGUAGCGGUGAAAUGCGUAGAUAUCUGGAGGAACACCGGUGGCGAAGGCGGCAUCCUGGACCAACACUGACGCUGAUGAGCGAAAGCCAGGGGGAGCAAACGGG
rnacentral:rRNA from 1 species